ACGUAGGCAGCGAGCGUUGUUCGGAGUUACUGGGCGUAAAGAGUGCGUAGGCGGUUUUCUAAGUUUGGUGUGAAAUCUCCCGGCUUAACUGGGAGGGUGCGCCGAAGACUGGAAGGCUUGAGUAUGGGAGAGGUAAGCGGAAUUCCUGGUGUAGCGGUGAAAUGCGUAGAUACCAGGAGGAACACCGGUGGCGAAGGCGGCUUUCUGGACAGACACCGACGCUGAGGCACGAAAGCUAGGGGAGCAAACAGGA
rnacentral:rRNA from 1 species